rnacentral:rRNA from 1 species
ACGCUCGACACCUACGGGAGGCGGCAGUGGGGAAUAUUGCACAAUGGAGGAAACUCUGAUGCAGCGACGCCGCGUGGAGGAAGAAGGUCUUCGGAUUGUAAACUCCUGUUGUUGAGGACGAUAAUGACGGUACUCAACAAGGAAGUGACGGCUAACUACGUGCCAGCACGCCGGAGGUAAUCUGAGGCGGGCGUCGGACGAAGGC